rnacentral:rRNA from 1 species
GAUGAACGCUGGCGGCGUGCCUAAUACAUGCAAGUCGAGCGAACAGACGAGGAGCUUGCUCCUCUGACGUUAGCGGCGGACGGGUGAGUAACACGUGGAUAACCUACCUAUAAGACUGGGAUAACUUCGGGAAACCGGAGCUAAUACCGGGUAAUAUAUUGAACCGCAUGGUUCAAUAGUGAAAGACGGUUUUGCUGUCACUUAUAGAUGGAUCCGCGCCGCAUUAGCUAGUUGGUAAGGUAACGGCUUACCAAGGCAACGAUGCGUAGCCGACCUGAGAGGGUGAUCGGCCACACUGGAACUGAGACACGGUCCAGACUCCUACGGGAGGCAGCAGUAGGGAAUCUUCCGCAAUGGGCGAAAGCCUGACGGAGCAACGCCGCGUGAGUGAUGAAGGUCUUCGGAUCGUAAAACUCUGUUAUUAGGGAAGGACAAAUGUGUAAGUAACUAUGCACGUCUUGACGGUACCUAAUCAGAAAGCCACGGCUAACUACGUG